rnacentral:rRNA from 1 species
AGAGUUUGAUCCUGGCUCAGGACGAACGCUGGCGGCGUGCCUAAUACAUGCAAGUAGAACGCUGAAGAGAGGAGCUUGCUCUUCUUGGAUGAGUUGUGAACGGGUGAGUAACGCGUAGGUAACCUGCCUUGUAGCGGGGGAUAACUAUUGGAAACGAUAGCUAAUACCGCAUAACAAUGGAUGACACAUGUCAUUUAUUUGAAAGGGGCAAUUGCUCCACUACAAGAUGGACCUGCGUUGUAUUAGCUAGUAGGUGAGGUAAUGGCUCACCUAGGCGACGAUACAUAGCCGACCUGAGAGGGUGAUCGGCCACACUGGGACUGAGACACGGCCCAGACUCCUACGGGAGGCAGCAGUAGGGAAUCUUCGGCAAUGGGGGCAACCCUGACCGAGCAACGCCGCGUGAGUGAAGAAGGUUUUCGGAUCGUAAAGCUCUGUUGUAAGUCAAGAACGGGUGUGAGAGUGGAAAGUUCACACUGUGACGGUAGCUUACCAGAAAGGGACGGCUAACUACGUGCCAGCAGCCGCGGUAAUACGUAGGUCCCGAGCGUUGUCCGGAUUUAUUGGGCGUAAAGCGAGCGCGGGCGGUUUGAUAAGUCUGAAGUUAAAGGCUGUGGCUCAACCAUAGUUCGCUUUGGAAACUGUCAAACUUGAGUGCAGAAGGGGAGAGUGGAAUUCCAUGUGUAGCGGUGAAAUGCGUAGAUAUAUGGAGGAACACCGGUGGCGAAAGCGGCUCUCUGGUCUGUAACUGACGCUGAGGCUCGAAAGCGUGGGGAGCGAACAGGAUUAGAUACCCUGGUAGUCCACGCCGUAAACGAUGAGUGCUAGGUGUUGGAUCCUUUCCGGGAUUCAGUGCCGCAGCUAACGCAUUAAGCACUCCGCCUGGGGAGUACGACCGCAAGGUUGAAACUCAAAGGAAUUGACGGGGGCCCGCACAAGCGGUGGAGCAUGUGGUUAAUUCGAAGCAACGCGAAGAACCUUACCAGGUCUUGACAUCCCGAUGCUAUUUCUAGAGAUAGAAAGUUACUUCGGUACAUCGGUGACAGGUGGUGCAUGGUUGUCGUCAGCUCGUGUCGUGAGAUGUUGGGUUAAGUCCCGCAACGAGCGCAACCCCUAUUGUUAGUUGCCAUCAUUCAGUUGGGCACUCUAGCGAGACUGCCGGUAAUAAACCGGAGGAAGGUGGGGAUGACGUCAAAUCAUCAUGCCCCUUAUGACCUGGGCUACACACGUGCUACAAUGGUUGGUACAACGAGUUGCGAGUCGGUGACGGCGAGCUAAUCUCUUAAAGCCAAUCUCAGUUCGGAUUGUAGGCUGCAACUCGCCUACAUGAAGUCGGAAUCGCUAGUAAUCGCGGAUCAGCACGCCGCGGUGAAUACGUUCCCGGGCCUUGUACACACCGCCCGUCACACCACGAGAGUUUGUAACACCCGAAGUCGGUGAGGUAACCUUUUGGAGCCAGCCGCCUAAGGUGGGACAGAUGAUUGGGGUGAAGUCGUAACAAGGUA